CGGGGUGCAGCAGGCGCGAAAACUUUACACUGCGGGAAACCGCGAUAAGGGGACCCCGAGUGCCAGCACCUAGUGCUGGCUGUCCAGCUGUCCAAAUAACAGUUGUUAGCAAGGUCCGGGCAAGACCGGUGCCAGCCGUCGCGGUAACACCGGCGGCCCGAGUGGUAGCCGUUAUUACUGGGCUUAAAGGGUCCGUAGCCGGCCUAUCAAGUAUGUUGGGAAAUCGUGCACUCUAUCGUCAGUCGUCCGAGAGAUAUUCGUAGGCUUGGGACCGGGAGAGGCGGGAGGUACUCCAGGGGUAGGGGUGAAAUCUGGUAAUCCUGGGGGGACCACCGAUGGUGACGGCAUCCCACCAGAACGGGUCCGACGGUGAGGGACGAAAGCUGGGGGCACGAACCGGAUUAGAUACCCGGGUAGUCCCAGCCGUAAACGAUGCUCGCUAGGUGUCAGGUGCGGUGCGACCGCAUCAGGUGCCGCAGUGAAAACUUGAAGCGAGUCACUCUGGGAAGUACGGUCGCAAGGCUGAAACUUAAA
rnacentral:rRNA from 1 species